AUCUCCAAAAAAUUAAACAAGUAUUAAAAAAACUAGCCCUAGAUCUGUUCAUCUGUUAUUCCAGUCAGGCUUUCAAGUCCUUGAAAACAGUUUGAAACAGAUGAUCAGGAACAAGGGCGUAACCACGCAUUCUUUGGGGGGGUCGUGCCCCCCCCCAAUGUUGAGAAAAUACUAACCUGUCCCCCCCAAUAUACAGCAGGAUAAAAUGUAAAAUAUAUGUUCUCUUUUUAUGAACCCUUUCAAUGGAUCGGUCUCUCGUUAUGUCUUAUUUAUUUUCAAUUUAUUUCCGUUUGUUAAGUGUGUGAAUCCCCCCUCAUAAUUGUACACUAGUGCGAUUUAGUUUGAAACCACCUCGCGACUUUCUGCGUUGUCAUGGUUACCCCACACUUAUUCUUCAGUGAGAGCCAAGAAAGUAAAGUUGAGUAAUGGAGGAUUUGAGGUUACCUAAAAAGCAGAAGAAACUGGACCAACAGCCAAGCAUACGCAGUUUUUUUCAGACAGUAAGUAGCUUGAUACCGAGCUUUGAGUAAGCAAAUAAAACGAGUAGCCUCGUAAAAGCAGAAUAUUAAAUAUAGCUCAUGAAGGUCAGUCGCUGUUCUUUUGAUAAAAUGACAUGGUUACGAUGCAGGCAGCACAGAGGGAGAAGGAGAGAGACAGGCAUGCUGAAAGCAGUGGCCAGACAGGGACAUGCUCUGAACACGCAGGUGAUCAGCUUAUCCAGUACAGACCCAGCGAUGAGAAGGCCUCAGAGAACAAAGGGAAAGAGAAACAUCACACUGGCAAAGCGGGCUGAGACCAAUGUCGGGAGGUCGGACAUGGUCUUAGGCCGAUAAUGGGUUUAACCAAGUGCACAAAGCUUUACUGACACAUUUCUGCAUGCGUUUUAUUUUCCUUACUGUAAGCAUUGAUUCACUGCCUGCCACUGGAAUCCUCCAGCAGUAGGAGCAAGGCAGAGGCCGGCAUCCACUGCUGAAUCGUGGCGACAAGUAUCCAGAAAAAAUGUAUAAAAUGUAAUGUGUGAUUGUGAAAUAUAUUCACUAACCAUAUUUCUAUAUUUUAACUAUAUUUUAUGGGACGGUGGGCUGAUGUAGUUUCAUCAAAUUAGCUGUAUGCUUGUUAGCAUUACUCAGUAGCAUUGAUUCACUGUGUGGCGCUGGAAUCCUCCAGCAGUAGGAGCAUGGCAGCGGUCGGCAUCCACAUCGUAAAGUCUGGCCGCACUAAUGAGGAAAGGCUGUGGCAGAGGAAAGAACCUUACUGCUUGGCUUCAUACCAGACAUACCUGGAAGCCACCCUGAACUCCCCCUGAGUCACCACUCAGCAACUCAUCACUCUCCUUGGCUCUUCUCUCGGCAUGUGGCUUUGUUACGGGUUGCAUCACUUCCUGUAACAUUACAUGUUUUUUCUUGUUGUCGGGCGAGGUGAGGGCCUUGCCCAAUACCGUAGAAUGAUGUCGGCCUACAAUAAAUGUGUGAUGGGAAAGAUGUAAGGGCAAUCAUUUUAGGCGAUUUGGAUUUCAGACCAUUACCGGCAAAAUUUCUAAUUUAAUCUCUUCGCAAUUGGUUUGGGGAAUACAUCUUGCCUAUACCAAACACAGUUGUCUGCCUUGUCUUCUGUACAAUGUGUGUCUAACCCUAUGAAGCCUAAAUUAUGUGCCCUAAAGAAAAUAACAGUACCCCUCACUGCUCUACUUACAGCAUCCAGCCGGAUGCUGGAUAUAAACAGCACUUUUCCUGGGAUUUGGGGUGCUGUUGUGGGUAGAUGGUGCUCCCACACGCAUACAAACUUUGAAAUAAGUCUGUACAUGAUUUUUUGAGUAAGAAACGCAUUUCUGGAAGCAGCCCGCCUCGAGCUACCAAACGAGCGUGUUAGUUUCGGCGCCCCCUCCUACGUAGGAAGGGGGCACAUUUGAAUAUUACCUCCCACUUCCCCACUCCCCUCAAAUCAGAGCAUCGCUAAGAUUGUGCGGACCAGCGGACGAGCAACUCCGGCGGGGGGCGCCGAGCUCACCCCGCCGGAGCUGCCGCCGAAGGGAAUUCGGGAGGAGGAGACACAUGGAGUAGAAAGGGAUUGUACUCCCGGAGCUGAGCUGCCGGACUGCCGCCGAGCUACCCCAGCCGGAGAUGCUCGUCCGCCGGAGCUGCUAGUCCGCUGGAGCUGCCACCUAGCUUCGGCGCCAGUUCAGCUCCCGGAGUACACUGCCCGGCCGCAGUCCGGCAGCUCAAUCCUAUUCUUCUCAAUGUCGCGGUUCAUGGACUUCAGAGAGUCAAUGCCAAAGUUCCUUCCCCCCAAUUCUUCUCAACCAUGGCCGAGAUAUCCCCCACUACGAGUCUUUACUUGUGGAAGUACCAGAGACGUCAGACACAGUCUUUAUUAUUCAUAAUAUCAUCCGAGGCGCACAUAGCUUUUGGACGCGAUAUUAGAUAGAUUAUAUAAAUACCCGUAUAUAAUAUUAUUAUUAUGUGAUAUUAUAAAAUAUAGAUAUAGAGCUCCAGGAGUCAGCUAACGGCAACAACCCCUUCUCCUCCACGCUGUGGUUCAGUCUGACAGCUCAUUGGUCAAUGGGCAGAAGCUAAUUUGCAUCAAAGCUACAAACACCAGAAACAGCGCAUUCUGAAGGGACUGAAACAGAGGGGGAAUAGCAGUAGACAAUAUUUUUUUCCUAAAAGCUAUUUCCAGCAAACUGCAUCAAAAACAUUUUUUCUGGAACUCAAAUACUAUGUUUACUUGUUGGGGAAAACACCAUAAUAUGUCACCUUUAAGUCUGCACUUUAAAUUAAGAACAACACACUGCUGUUUCUUGAGAUUUGCUGACCUUAGUAGUAGUAGUCUUGUCAUAUGCCCUACUACAAUAUAAGAUGCUUUAACAUGGAUGAGUGAUAACAAAAGUGAAAGUUAUGGUGAUCCCUCAUGAAUAUUUUAUGCAUAGCUUUCCCCUUAUAAUUUUCUCAAACUUAUAAG
rnacentral:lncRNA from 1 species